CCUACGGGCGGCAGCAGUGGGGAAUAUUGGGCAAUGGGCGCAAGCCUGACCCAGCAACGCCGCGUGAAGGAAGAAGGCUUUCGGGUUGUAAACUUCUUUUCUGAGGGACGAAGAAAGUGACGGUACCUCAGGAAUAAGCCACGGCUAACUACGUGCCAGCAGCCGCGGUAAUACGUAGGUGGCAAGCGUUAUCCGGAUUGACUGGGUGUAAAGGGCGUGUAGGCGGGAUAGCAAGUCAGAGGUGAAAACCCAGGGCUCAACCCAGGGGCUGCAUUUGAAACUGUUAUUCUUGAGUGCUGGAGAGGAAAGCGGAAUUCCGAGUGUAGCGGUGAAAUGCGUAGAUAUAAGGAGGAACACCAGUGGCGAAGGCGGAUUUCUGGACAGUAACUGACGCUGAGGCACGAAAGCGUGGGGAGCAAACAGGAUUAGAUACCCUGGUAGUC
rnacentral:rRNA from 1 species